GGCUCGGUGGCAGAGUGGUAAUGUGUCCGCUUAUAAUCGAGUGCGGUUAUCUUUAUUGCGGAGGUCGCCUGUUCGAAUCAGGCUCGAGCCA